rnacentral:tRNA from 1 species
GGGUCGUUAGCUCAGUUGGUAGAGCAGUAGACUUUUAAUCUAUUGGUCACAGGUUCAAGUCCUGUACGACCCACCA